rnacentral:rRNA from 1 species
CGGCAACAGCUCAAAUUUGAAAUCUGGCUCUUUUAGAGUCCGAGUUGUAAUUUGUAGAAGAUGCUUCGAGUGUGGUGCCGGUCUAAGUUCCUUGGAACAGGACGUCAUAGAGGGUGAGAAUCCCGU